UGUUGAACUAUUUUUUAUUUUCAGCAAGACACAAACCUGUUGAGGUUUCUACAGUGAUUUUUCUUCUUAGGUUUCAUCAAGAUUUUGUUGCCUUGUUGGGAAUGAUAAAUGGAUAUUUUGUGGUGCUCCAUGCAGUAAAUGUAUGUGAUGCAUCAUCAGUACAGUUUCUAAGCUCCCAGGAAAUAGAGCCCUGGGAGAGCUCCGGUGUUUUUCAUGUUUUUCUUUUCUUUGAGUGGAACCUGUCUGCCAAUGAAAAACCACGCUUGCAACCGACGUUCCUUUUCUUUGGAUAGAACCGACGUUCGAGGGUAGAACCGACAUUCCUGGUUGGUCAAACUAUAUCCUCGCACACGCAGCGUGUGCUUGCCCAAGCCGUCGCCUCGAUCUUCCUAGGCCGUCCCGUCACCUUCCCCCACCUUUCUCACUCUUGCCACUACGUGGUGUUCAGUUGCCUGCCGGACAAGAGGAGGAGGCUGGUUGUGCACUUGGUGUGCCGCUGCUGAUGAGAGCCGAAAGGAGCAGGAGGGGUUGGAGAGGGUGAGAGAGUCGAUCUGGAGGAGGAAGAGAAGAGUGCCGACGACAAGUAUAGAUGGAGCUGCACCGCGUGUGGUGGUACAGGACGAGACCACCGGCCGAAGGAGCGCCCACCAAGUGUUCGAUUCUUUUCCCAAGUGGGAUACUCAAAACUCGAGGGUGCUAUACUGCUAUUUGGUGAAAUUGAUGGCAAGAAACCAACGUCGGUCUGUGAAAGCCCAACAUCUUUGUGCUUCUGCCUUAGAUAAUUUAUACUUAGAAGUACUGAGACUACCACCUUUUGGUGAUCGAUUUAUUAAUCAGAUGGGUACAAUUAUCAGUUU